GGGAGGAGAGGAUCUAGACUAUGGGCUGACCAGGCCUGAGGGAGUAACCUUAAGGAGCAGCUAAGCCUGUAUUAAGUUUUCCGUAACACCUUGUGGUUGAAAACAAAGCAAAGAGCAUUAGAAAUGUCAAGUCUGGUCUUCUUUGGUGUUGCUGGAGGACCUCUUGGAUAUCUUGAACGUGUGUAUUGUGAGCUCUGAUACCCUACUUGAUGGGAUGAAUGUUCACCAAAGAUUUCCUUUCUCUUAAAUGUCUAUACACUGGAAUUAAAUUACUGUUAACCAAAGCAAACAAAGCAAAGCAAACAAAGCAGAGUUCUAAGCAGUCUCAAUAAAAAUCUUUCCCCCUUGGUUGAUCAUCAUUUUAGUCUGACUUCUGUGAUGUCAUAAAGAAGCAGAAUUUUUCACACAUCAGAAAGAAGCAAAGGAGGACAAGCCCAAUUUUCCCUCCUUUGCAAGUCCCCUUUAACUAUAAAGUUCCCUUUAUAUCUACAGAUAUCCUUAUAUACCCUGAUCGAGCAAACCACCUUAAGCAUAUGAGUAACCUUCUUACCUCAAUAGCACUAAAGUGCUUAAAGCCAAGCUCCUUAAGUGCUUUUUCUGGAUUGGGGCUAUCGGUAAGGGGUGAUCCUUGGAAAUUAUUGAACUAUGUGAAUAUUAGGCAAAUGUUUUGUGGUGUUCAUUCAGAUAUUUAAACCAAUUCACUUCAAUUAUGUGUGUUCUACUGUUAAGUUUCUCUCUCUCUUUCUUUCUCUUUCUCUCUCUCUCUCUCUAUAUAUAUAUGAAUUAAUUUACUAGCCAGAAUGUUCAUGGGAACAUCAACUUUUCCGUAAAUUAUUGGAGAUAUGUACUGAAAGUAGAUUUUUGAAUUCCUAAUCUACACCAGAAGCCUGGCUCAUCCACUCAGGACAGAAACUUAACAUGUAAAUGGUUUCAAGUCAAAACUUGCAGCGAAGAAUGUGGGAGCUGCCUGUAACAUUUUUAUGAAUAUUCUGUUUCCAUCUACUGGCCUGUCCUAGUGGUGGUUGCAACUAUACAAGAAGGGAGUGGCAGUGAGAGAGAAAUGAUCUGCUUUGCCCAUCUCCACAAAUACUUGGUGGACAAUGCUAGAGCCAUCCACUGUGGAGCAGUUACUAGACGCGGGAGACCCCAUGACUGGACUUGCUAAUCCGGUUCCUUCAGAAAGGUCUCCGCCCUGUGGUUACGGGCGUGUCGGGGAGACCAACGCCUCAGGCUUGGUCUACGCUUGAAAGGCUGUGGGACAGUCACAGACUCAAGCACCUCUGCAAUUGGCUGUAGAUCCAGGCUGGUUGACAGCACCUGUUAACAAACACCUUCCACCACCACGACACCCCCCGUCAUCUCUGCUCAUCCUCCCAGUAGUGUCUAAUACAGAGGUUCUCAAACUGGGGGUUGCAACCCUUCAGGGGGUUGCAAGGUGAUUACAUGGGGGUUGCCAGCUGUCAGCUCUGUGAAGCUGACAGCCCUGAGCUCCCAUUAAAUUAAAUACCCCUCCUCAAUUUUUAAUUUAGAAGGGGUCACACUCAGAGGCUUGCUGUGUGAAAGGGGUCACCAAUACAAAAAGUUUGAAACCCACUGGUUUAAUAUGUUGACCCCCUGAAUUACUUCUGUCCCAGACAGAAUAAUGCGGGGGGGAUUGAGGGGAAAUGGGGGCAUGCACAGCCCCUCACAUGGAGGAGAUGAGGAUA